rnacentral:rRNA from 1 species
GACGAACGCUGGCGGCGUGCCUAAUACAUGCAAGUCGAGCGGASUUGAUGRRGWGCUUGCWYYYCUGAKRSUUAGCGGCGGACGGGUGAGUAACACGUAGGCAACCUGCCCUCAAGACUGGGAUAACUACCGGAAACGGUAGCUAAUACCGGAUAAUUAAAUUYGCUGCAUGGCGGAKUUAUGAAAGGCGGAGCAAUCUGUCRCUUGAGGAUGGGCCUGCGGCGCAUUAGCUAGUUGGUGAGGUAACGGCUCACCAAGGCGACGAUGCGUAGCCGACCUGAGAGGGUGAACGGCCACACUGGGACUGAGACACGGCCCAGACUCCUACGGGAGGCAGCAGUAGGGAAUCUUCCGCAAUGGGCGAAAGCCUGACGGAGCAACGCCGCGUGAGUGAUGAAGGUUUUCGGAUCGUAAAGCUCUGUUGCCAGGGAAGAACGUCUCAUAGAGUAA